rnacentral:rRNA from 1 species
UACGUAGGGUGCAAGCGUUGUCCGGAAUUAUUGGGCGUAAAGAGCUCGUAGGCGGUUUGUCGCGUCGAAUGUGAAAACCCGGGGCUCAACCCCGGGCCUGCAUUCGAUACGGGCAGAACUAGAGUUCGGUAGGGGAGUCUGGAAUUCCUGGUGUAGCGGUGAAAUGCGCAGAUAAUCAGGAGGAACACCGGUGGCGAAGGCGGGACUCUGGGC